CUUAACUCGUUAGUUCAUGAAGCAGAGAUGCAGUCAAAGUUGAGAAAUAUUGUUGCUGAGAGCACUGAAAACAUGUCUGAAAAUUGACAUUUCAUUAUUACAUUUGGUUUUACUGCAGAAAGUUCGCUUGGUGCUGAGGAGUCUGCUUGCGGUGAGUCUCUUUUUCCUUCUCUUGCUGGCACAUUCAAAGGCCAGGUGAAUAAGAACCGAUUCUUUCAUGUGCCUGUCUACCUCAAGUUUGGCUAUCUGUUUAUGUUCCCAUGGAUCCUCAGCAGGUCCGACCUCGCAGGAGCCAGUGUUGUCUGCACGACCAAGCCAAAUCAGCAGCAAUAUUGCGACAGGAGCUGCUGACUUCACUCACUUAGACGAUGGCACUUUCCAUCUUGCCAAGGGAGUCAUCGUGAGGGCCGAGGCAGCAUUCAAGAUCAUGAAAAACAGCAAACCCACACUUGUGGUAAAAGACACAGCUGAAGGUGUGUGGGGGAAGGAUAUUUCAUCCAAGAAGAGCGUCACAGGCGUGGUGGCGCCGCGAUAGAAAUGUCUGGAUGAAGUGGCAAAAGAGCCAUUGACGCCAAAGUAGGUGGCUGUUGUCACAGGUGAGUUGAUAAAGAAAUAUUUAGGAAACAUCUAACUGCUGCUAAGUUGUAUCGAUGGCUUCCACAAGCAGUGCGAGCAGUUUAAUUCACAUGCACUUAAUUGUAGCUUCUAUUCAAGCUUCUGCUGAGUUGUGCUUUGACAGCUGCC